rnacentral:rRNA from 1 species
UACUCGACUCCUACGGGAGGCAGCAGUGAGGAAUAUUGGUCAAUGGAGGCAACUCUGAACCAGCCAUGCCGCGUGAAGGAAGAAUGUCCUAUGGAUUGUAAACUUCUUUUAUUUGGGAAGAAACCCCUCUACGUGUAGAGGGCUGACGGUACCAAAAGAAUAAGGACCGGCUAACUCCGUGCCAGAAGCCGCGGUAAUACGGAGGGUCCAAGCGUUAUCCGGAAUCAUUGGGUUUAAAGGGUUCGCAGGCGGUUUAAUAAGUCAGUGGUGAAAUCCCGUAGCUCAACUACGGAACUGCCAUUGAUACUGUUAGACUUGAAUACAGUUGGAGUAGGCGGAAUGUGUAGUGUAGCGGUGAAAUGCUUAGAUAUUACACAGAACACCGAUAGCGAAGGCAGCUUACUAAACUGAGAUUGACGCUCAUGAACGAAAGCGUGGGGAGCGAACAGGAUUAGAUACCCUGGUAG